rnacentral:rRNA from 1 species
UGGGGAAUAUUGGACAAUGGGCGGAAGCCUGAUCCAGCAACGCCGCGUGAGGGAUGACGGCCUUCGGGUUGUAAACCUCUUUCAGCACAGACGAAGCGAAAGUGACGGUAUGUGCAGAAGAAGCACCGGCCAACUACGUG